UUUUACUUAAAUAUAAAACUGUACACAACUGUCUAUGACUUGCAUUUAUCCAUUUCCCAACAGGUCUGUCACUUAAGGGAUCUAAUCAGACGGUCCCUGAGGAACUACACAGCCACUGGUCUCACUGAGUUAUUUUACCUUCACAUGUUCCGUAUACUGUAUUAUUGACAUGAUUUCCAUGAUCUCCCGACAGUAGGUGGGCCUGU